GCAGCACGGGAGCAUCCUGGUGGCGAGUGGCGAACGGGUGAGUAAUACAUCGGAACGUGCCCAAUCGUGGGGGAUAACGCAGCGAAAGCUGUGCUAAUACCGCAUACGAUCUACGGAUGAAAGCAGGGGACCGCAAGGCCUUGCGCGAAUGGAGCGGCCGAUGGCAGAUUAGGUAGUUGGUGAGGUAAAGGCUCACCAAGCCUUCGAUCUGUAGCUGGUCUGAGAGGACGACCAGCCACACUGGGACUGAGACACGGCCCAGACUCCUACGGGAGGCAGCAGUGGGGAAUUUUGGACAAUGGGCGAAAGCCUGAUCCAGCAAUGCCGCGUGCAGGAUGAAGGCCUUCGGGUUGUAAACUGCUUUUGUACGGAACGAAACGGUUCUUUCUAAUAAAGAGGGCUAAUGACGGUACCGUAAGAAUAAGCACCGGCUAUCUACGUGCCAGCAGCCGCGGUAAUACGUAGGGUGCAAGCGUUAAUCGGAAUUACUGGGCGUAAAGCGUGCGCAGGCGGUUAUGUAAGACAGUUGUGAAAUCCCCGGGCUCAACCUGGGAAUUGCAUCUGUGACUGCAUAGCUAGAGUACGGUAGAGGGGGAUGGAAUUCCCGCGUGUAGCAGUGAAAUGCGUAUAUAUGCGGAGGAACACCGAUGGCGAAGGCAUCCCCUGGACCUGUACUGACGCUCAUGCCCAUAGCGUGGAGGAAGCAACGGAUUAGA
rnacentral:rRNA from 1 species